GACGAACGCUGGCGGCGUGCCUAAUACAUGCAAGUAGAACGCUGAAGCGAGGAGCUUGCUCUUCUUGGAUGAGUUGCGAACGGGUGAGUAACGCGUAGGUAACCUGCCUUGUAGCGGGGGAUAACUAUUGGAAACGAUAGCUAAUACCGCAUAACAAUGGAUGACACAUGUCAUUUAUUUGAAAGGGGCAAUUGCUCCACUACAAGAUGGACCUGCGUUGUAUUAGCUAGUAGGUGAGGUAAUGGCUCACCUAGGCGACGAUACAUAGCCGACCUGAGAGGGUGAUCGGCCACACUGGGACUGAGGCACGGCCCAGACUCCUACGGGAGGCAGCAGUAGGGAAUCUUCGGCAAUGGGGGCAACCCUGACCGAGCAACGCCGCGUGAGUGAAGAAGGUUUUCGGAUCGUAAAGCUCUGUUGUAAGUCAAGAACGGGUGUGAGAGUGGAAAGUUCACACUGUGACGGUAGCUUACCAGAAAGGGACGGCUAACUACGUG
rnacentral:rRNA from 1 species